ensembl:piRNA 21ur-6403 ncRNA
UAACCAGUGGAAUGAAAAAAA